rnacentral:sRNA from 1 species
GUCACUAACUCCGUCCUUUAGGGCGGAGCUUGCCUAAACCAAUUUAAGCAACGCAAGUAGCGACUACCACACUGAGACACAACUUGGCACAGACCUCCGGAUACUUCCCCAGUUCGGAUUCCCUCUAAGCCUUAUUGGUAGGGCGUUGUGAGAAAAGACAUCUUAGUUGUGUUGUGGGAGGGGACUUAAACAAGUUUGCUGGUUCUUGGCCUUAUCGGCAAUUAAAAACCAGUACCCGCAAGGGU